rnacentral:tRNA from 1 species
GGAGGGCUCGCAUAAUGGUAUUGCAGCGGUCUUGAAAACCGCCGGGAGUGAUCCUGUGGGGGUUCGAGUCCCUCGCCCUCCGCCA